rnacentral:rRNA from 1 species
GGGUUGUGAGGUUAAGCGACUAAGCGUACACGGUGGAUGCCCUGGCAGUCAGAGGCGAUGAAGGACGUGCUAAUCUGCGAAAAGCGUCGGUAAGGUGAUAUGAACCGUUAUAACCGGCGAUGUCCGAAUGGGGAAACCCAGUGCAAUUCGUUGCACUAUCGUUAACUGAAUACAUAGGUUAACGAGGCGAACCGGGGGAACUGAAACAUCUAAGUACCCCGAGGAAAAGAAAUCAACCGAGAUUCCCCCAGUAGCGGCGAGCGAACGGGGAGCAGCCCAGAGUCUGAAUCAGCUUGUGUGUUAGUGGAACGGUCUGGAAAGUCCGACGGUACAGGGUGAUAGUCCCGUACACCAAAAUGCACAGGCUGUGAACUCGAAGAGUAGGGCGGGACACGUGGUAUCCUGUCUGAAUAUGGGGGGACCAUCCUCCAAGGCUAAAUACUCCUGACUGACCGAUAGUGAACC